CCCUUAACUAAAAAAAAGAUUGUUUGAGGAUUUUAAAUUUUUUUUUAGUCUCGUUUUGGUCCCUUCUGUUAGGUUUUCGUUAAGGUUUUAAAAAAAAGUUAACUCCAAUUUUUUUUGUAAAAAAUAAAAUUAAAAAAAUACUCAGAGCCAAUGACAAGGUGACACGUGUCCAGGAGUUAACUUUUUUUUAAAACCCUAACGGAAACCUAACAGAAGGGACCAAAACGAGACUAACAAAAAAUUUAAAAUCCUCAAACAAUCUUUUUUUUAGUUAAGGGA
rnacentral:pre_miRNA from 1 species